rnacentral:rRNA from 1 species
CUUGCGCAAUGGGCGAAGCCUGACGCAGCAACGCCGCGUGGGGGAUGAAGGCCCUCGGGUUGUAAACCCCUUUCAGCAGGGACGAAACUGACGGUACCUGCAGAAGAAGCCCCGGCCAACUACGUGCCAGCAGCCGCGGUAAGACGUAGGGGGCGAGCGUUGUCCGGAUUUAUUGGGCGUAAAGGGCUCGUAGGCGGUUUGGCAAGUCGGAUGUGAAACCUCCAGGCUUAACCUGGAGACGCCAUUCGAUACUGCUAUGACUUGAGUUCGGUAGGGGCGCAUGGAAUACCCGGUGUAGCGGUGAAAUGCUUAGAUAUCGGGUGGAACACCAGUGGCGAAGGCGGUGCGCUGGGCCGAAACUGACGCUGAUGAGCGAAAGCGUGGGUAGCAAACAGGAUUAGAUACCCUGGUAGUCCACGCCGUAAACGUUGGGCACUAGGUGUGGGACCCUAUCGACGGGUUCCGUGCCGUAGCUAACGCAUUAAGUGCCCCGCCUGGGGAGUACGGCCGCAAGGCUA